rnacentral:rRNA from 1 species
UGAGUAACCUGCCCUUCACUCUGGGAUAACUCCGGGGAAACCGGGGCUAAUACUGGAUAUGACUCGAACAGGCAUCUGUUUCGGGUGGAAGGAUUUAUUGGUGGAGGAUGGACUCGCGGCCUAUCAGCUUGUUGGUGAGGUAAUGGCUCACCAAGGCGACGACGGGUAGCCGGCCUGAGAGGGCGAUCGGCCACACGUGGGACUGAGACACGGCCCAGACCUCCGUACGGGAGCA